rnacentral:rRNA from 1 species
UGGGGAAUCUUGCGCAAUGGCCGCAAGGCUGACGCAGCGACGCCGCGUGUGGGAGGACGCCUCGGGGUGGUAAACCACUGUUGCCCGGGACGAACGGGCGCUUUCGAGCGCCGUGACGGUACCGGGUGAGGAAGCACCGGCUAACUCCGUGCCAGCAGCCGCGGUAAUACGGAGGGUGCGAGCGUUGUCCGGAAUCACUGGGCGUAAAGGGCGCGUAGGCGGCGCGGUAAGCGGGCGGUGAAAGCCCGGGGCUCAACCCCGGGCUCGGGCCGGUGCCGGACUGCCCGGUGCCUGGCAGGCACUGUAGAGGCGGGUGGAAUUCCGGGUGUAGCGGUGGAAUGCGUAGAGAUCCGGAAGAACACCGGUGGCGAAGGCGGCCCGCCGGGCAGUGGCUGACGCUGAGGCGCGACAGCGUGGGGGAGCAAACA